rnacentral:piRNA from 1 species
UAUUUAAUUUAUGAGUGCCCUCUUUGGGGUGU